rnacentral:rRNA from 1 species
CAGCAGCCGCGGUAAUACCGGCGGCCCGAGUGGCGGCCACUAUUAUUGGGCUUAAAGCGUCCGUAGCCGGGUUGGUUAGUCUCCCGGGAAAUCUGGCCGCUUAACGGUCAGAAUUCCGGGAGAUACUGCCAGCCUAGGGACCGGGAGAGGCCGAGGGGAUUCCCGGAGUAGGGGGGAAAUCCUAUAAUCCCGGGAGGACCACCUGUGGCGAAGGCGCUCGGCUGGAACGCGUCCGACGGUGAGGGACGAAGGCCAGGGGAGCAAACCGGAUUAGAUACCCGGGUAGUCCUGGCUGUAAACGAUGCGGACUUUGUGUCGGACAAGCUAUGAGCUUGUCCGGUGCCGGAGGGAAACCGUUAAGUCCGCCGCCUGGGGAGUACGGCCGCAAGGCUGAAACUUAAAGGAAUUGGCGGG